rnacentral:rRNA from 1 species
UACGUAGGGUGCAAGCGUUGUUCGGAAUUACUGGGCGUAAAGCGCGCGUAGGCGGGUUUGCAAGUCGAUUGUGAAAGCCCUGGGCUUAACCUGGGAAUGGCAGUCGAAACUGUAAAUCUUGAGUGCCUGAGAGGAUGGCGGAAUUCCCGGUGUAGUAGUGAAAUACGUAGAUAUCGGGAAGAACACCUGAGGCGAAGGCGGCUAUCUGGCGGUGCACUGACGCUGAGGCGCGAAAGCGUGGGGAGCAAACAGG